GACGAACGCUGGCGGCGUGCCUAAUACAUGCAAGUCGAGCGGACUUUCAAGAAGCUUGCUUUUUGAAAGUUAGCGGCGGACGGGUGAGUAACACGUGGGCAACCUGCCUGCAAGACGGGGAUAACUCCGGGAAACCGGGGCUAAUACCGGAUAAUAUCUUCCUUCGCAUGAAGGAAGGUUGAAAGGCGGCGCAAGCUGCCGCUUGCAGAUGGGCCCGCGGCGCAUUAGCUAGUUGGUGAGGUAACGGCUCACCAAGGCGACGAUGCGUAGCCGACCUGAGAGGGUGAUCUGCCACACUGGGACUGAGACACGGCCCAGACUCCUACGGGAGGCAGCAGUAGGGAAUCUUCCGCAAUGGACGAAAGUCUGACGGAGCAACGCCGCGUGAGCGAAGAAGGUCUUCGGAUCGUAAAGCUCUGUUGUCAGGGAAGAACAAGUACCGUUCGAACAGGGCGGUACCUUGACGGUACCUGACCAGAAAGCCACGGCUAACUACGUG
rnacentral:rRNA from 1 species